rnacentral:rRNA from 1 species
GACGAACGCUGGCGGCGUGCUUAACACAUGCAAGUCGAACGGAAAGGCCCUGCUUUGUGGGGGUGGUCGGGGGGCGACGGGGGAAGUAACACGUGGGUAACCUGCCCUUGACUGUGGGAGAACUUCAGGAAACUGGGGCUAAUACCGGCAAGGAGCUCCUGCUGCAGGGUGGGGGUUGGAAAGUUUCGGCGGUUGGGGAUGGACUCGCGGCUUAUCAGGUUGUUGGUGGGGUAGUGGCUUACCAUGGCUUUGACGGGUAGCCGGCCUGAGCGGGUGACCGGCCACAUUGCGCCUGAGAUACGGCCCAGACUCCUACGGGAGGCAGCAGUGGGGAAUAGUGCACAAUGGGCGGAAGCCUGAUGUAGCAACGCCGCGUGCGGGAUGACGGCCUUCGGGUUGUAAACCGCUUUCGCCUGUGACGAAGCGUGAGUGACGGUAAUGGGUAAAGAAGCACCGGCUAACUACGUG